UGUUGUGGCAGCAAUUAUGUUCAACUACAAGAAAGUUAAGGAUUAUAUGCAUUCUUAUUACUUGAAGCCACAAUAUCCGAAGGCUUAUGAGCCCGAUGUUCAGCCUGUACCUGAAAUGCACCCUCAUUCAAUGAAGACCUCCUGAAAGUCCCAAGAAAGCUAGAAGAAAGGAGGUUGAUAAGGUAAAAAACAAUAAGAGGAUUAGGAGGCAAGGUACUUCACUGUGAUAUGGUAAUUGUUUAGAGUGGGGUCAUAACUCCAAAACAUGUAAGUGUCCUAAGAAGGUGAGGGUUAAGAAAGUUGUUUCACCUAAAAAGGGACUAGGAGGUAGCAAUAAGGGGAAAAGGAGGUGCAGGAGGCAACAGCAAGGAGCAGAAAGAUGCAGGAGGUGGCCAAGAUCCUCACAAUAACCUAGAUAUGUAAGUCAAUAUAUCGAUUACCAAUUAAGUUUUGUCAGUCUCAGGUUUAUUAAUGUUACUAUUACCAGUUUGAAGUUUAUCUUUUUGAUUGAUGGUACCGAAGCUAGUCAGAGUCACAGGCCAAAUAGAUUUUUCUCACUUAUAAACACACUGCUCAAAAUGGUAUAGUAAUGGCUACUAUAGCAUCUAUACAGUAUUUAGUGUACAGUGGCAUGAUAUACACACUAUUUAGCAAUAAAUUUUUAGCAAGUUGUGGUAGAUUUUUGGAAUCAUGGAUUCAUAUGCAUCUGAUAGUGCUUCCAUGAUGCACUUGGAGAUGUAUAGAGCUCCUAGAUGAGGUUCCAGGUUGUGAUGUUUCACUAUAUUAAGCCAACCUGCGACCACUAGCAACUCCCAUAGCCAACAGCCAAAAAG
rnacentral:lncRNA from 1 species